GACGAACGCUGGCGGCGUGCUUAACACAUGCAAGUCGAACGGAAAGGCCCUGCUUUUGUGGGGUGCUCGAGUGGCGAACGGGUGAGUAACACGUGAGUAACCUGCCCUUGACUUUGGGAUAACUUCAGGAAACUGGGGCUAAUACCGGAUAGGAGCUCCUGCUGCAUGGUGGGGGUUGGAAAGUUUCGGCGGUUGGGGAUGGACUCGCGGCUUAUCAGCUUGUUGGUGGGGUAGUGGCUUACCAAGGCUUUGACGGGUAGCCGGCCUGAGAGGGUGACCGGCCACAUUGGGACUGGGAUACGGCCCAGACUCCUACGGGGGGAAGCAGUGGGGAAUAUUGCACAAUGGGCGGAAGCCUGAUGCAGCAACGCCGCGUGCGGGAUGACGGCCUUCGGGUUGUAAACCGCUUUCGCCUGUGACGAAGCGUGAGUGACGGUAAUGGGUAAAGAAGCACCGGCUAACUACGU
rnacentral:rRNA from 1 species